rnacentral:rRNA from 1 species
GACGGGGGCCCGCACAAGCGGAGGAACAUGUGGUUUAAUUCGAUGAUACGCGAGGAACCUUACCCGGGCUCGAACGGUGCAGGAAGGAUCAAGAGAUUGUGACGCCCUUCGGGGCCUGCAUCGAGGUGCUGCAUGGUUGUCGUCAGCUCGUGUCGUGAGAUGUUGGCUUAAGUGCCAUAACGAGCGCAACCCUUGUCGCCAGUUACCAGCAAGUAAAGUUGGGGACUCUGGCGAGACUGCCACCGCAAGGUGUGAGGAAGGCGGGGAUGACGUCAAAUCAGCACGGCCCUUACGUCCGGGGCGACACACGUGUUACAAUGGCGACUACAGAGGGAAGCCACCUGGCGACAGGGAGCAGAUCUCAAAAAGUCGUCUCAGUUCGGAUCGGAGUCUGCAACUCGACUCCGUGAAGCUGGAUUCGCUAGUAAUCGCGCAUCAGCCAUGGCGCGGUGAAUACGUUCCCGGGCCUUGUACACACCGCCCGUCAAGCCAUGAAAGCCGGGGGUGCCUGAAGUCCGUGACCGAAAGGAGCGGCCUAGGGCAAAACUGGUAAUUGGGGCUAAGUCGUAACGAGGUAGCCGUACCGGAA